UACGUAGGGGGCAAGCGUUAUCCGGAAUUAUUGGGCGUAAAGAGUACGUAGGUGGUUUUCUAAGCACGGGGUUUAAGGCAAUGGCUUAACCAUUGUUCGCCUUGUGAACUGGAAGACUUGAGUGCAGGAGAGGAAAGCGGAAUUCCUAGUGUAGCGGUGAAAUGCGUAGAUAUUAGGAGGAACACCAGUGGCGAAGGCGGCUUUCUGGACUGUAACUGACACUGAGGUACGAAAGCGUGGGGAGCAAACAGGAUUAGAUACCCUGGUAGUCCACGCCGUAAACGAUGAGCACUAGGUGUCGGGGUCGCAAGACUUCGGUGCCGCAGUUAACGCAUUAAGUGCUCCGCCUGGGGAGUACGUUCGCAAGAAUGAA
rnacentral:rRNA from 1 species